rnacentral:rRNA from 1 species
AGCAGUCGCCGCGGUAAAACGAAGGGGGCUAGCGUUGUUCGGAUUUACUGGGCGUAAAGCGCACGUAGGCGGAUCGAUCAGUCAGGGGUGAAAUCCCAGAGCUCAACUCUGGAACUGCCUUUGAUACUGUCGAUCUGGAGUAUGGAAGAGGUGAGUGGAAUUCCGAGUGUAGAGGUGAAAUUCGUAGAUAUUCGGAGGAACACCAGUGGCGAAGGCGGCUCACUGGUCCAUUACUGACGCUGAGGUGCGAAAGCGUGGGGAGCAAACAGGAUUAGAUACCCCAGUAGUCCCUGUCUCUUAUAC